UGGUCUGGCUGGGGUGACGGAUUUUUGAUUUCUACUACUCAAGCGAACUUUAGUCAUGGCUGGUUAUCGCAAAUAUUCCUGCAAAUACCCCGGAUGCACCAGUGGUUAUGUUCCCAACAAAGGACAUGCCAACAAGCAUUUCUUCACCUUCCCUAAGAAUCCAAAGCUUCACGAAUUGUGGAGGAAUGCCUGCAAAAUUGAGGAUCCUAAUUUACUUUUAAGUUUCUUAUUUGCGCUCGAGUGUGUCAGUGCACUGCAUGUACCUCCUCGUGGUCGUAGCGCGGGCAACUGUUUGCUGACAGACAAGUACGUGAUGAUGCGGCUAGAUGGCUCCAGCUAGGAAUUCAUUGCCAACCAUUAUGUUCCGCUUCUAUAAAAGUGUUAUUCUAGGAUGUCGUCCAACUCUGUCAAGUCAAGGGAAACGGACAGACUAAACUAAACUAAAAAGUGCUAAAAACUACGUACAUCGUGUUAAACAGGUGUUAAACAAUGUGAACGAUGUGAAUCCUGAUUCCUGAAAAUGCAGGGCAAUAGUAAGACCAACGACCGUCGUAACUAUGCGAAAUAUAGAAUAAAAAAACGUAUAGAAAGCAGUGGGAAACGCUUCCACUCUUUAAAGGUUGGCUGGCUGAAUAUCCAAAGGAUGCGUCUCGAGCUUUCUGCACGGUUUGCUCUACUUCUUUAAGAGCGGAUAAAACCGAUUUGGAACAUCAUUCUAAUAAUCAAAAACACAAGAAAAAUUUUACUCGGUUGAGACCUACAAGUAAUCAAUCAAUAAUCAAUAAUGUAAUUAUUGUAAACAACAAAACGAAAAAGACUGAAAUCAUAGUCGCAGCAUAUGUUGCUGUACAUUCCAGUAUUAGGACAGUGGAUCAUUUAUCCAACAUUUUACAAAACGAAUUUAGACCUAUAAAACCGAACUCAACAAUGAAUGUAAAACUUCAUUGAACCAAAUGUAGUAUGAUUAUACAAAAUGUGAUUGGGGCCACUUUUCGAGAACAACUGAUUCUGGACAUUGGAGAUAGUUUUUAUUCAUUAAUCAUCGAUGAAUCCACCGAUGUUUCUGUGGAGAAAUACUUAUGCUUAUGUGUUCGAUAUUUUAGUGCAUCACGAGUCAAACUUGUUACAACGUUUCUGGGAAUCAUCACAAUCACCGAUGCAACUACAGUUGCUUUAGCCGCUCUUAUUAAAAUUACAUUUUAAAAGUUGGAUAAAAAUAGACAGGUUAUUGGGGCUUGGUACAGAUGGUGCAAGCGUUUUAUGUGGCCAAACAACUCGGUCUUCACUAUCUUAAAAGUUGAUGCUCCCAGAUUAGUUCUCGUAAAAUGUGUAGCUCACUCGUUGCACUUAUGUUGUUCUAAAGCUGCAAGUGUGUUACCUGAUGAACUCGAUUUUUUGUGUAAGCAUAUUUAUAAUUGGUUUUCAAAAAGCACUCAAAGACGAGAGUGUUACAAAGAAAUUUUUAAAUUGAUUAAUAUCAAUGAAAAUGUCAAAUUUCAUAACUUUAUCCAACUGUCUGAUACACGAUGGCUUGAAAGAGCAAAUGUGAUCAAAGUUAUACUGGAACAAUGGCUCCAACUUAAGACUUAUUUUCUUCAAGUAGCAAAUGGCACCAAAGAUUCAAUGGCGAAAAUAAUUAAUCAAAUGUUAACUGAUAUAAACUUUAUGUAUUUUACUGUUGUCUACAACACUGUAUGUUGUGAAUGCCAGUUUUCAACAGGAAAAUGCAGAUGCAUUUCAGCUUUACCAGGAUCUCUAUCAGUUGCUUUUAACUUUUUUAAGGAUUUUGAUAAAACCUAUAUUUCUAGAUAACUUGAAUGAAAUGAAAAGUUCUUGCAAUCAAAAAAUUUCUGACAUAUUGAAUAAUGAGUUGUCGUUUACCCCAUUAAACAUAAUUGAUUUUGGUUACAAUUAUCGGAAAGCACUGGCGGAACAACGCGAUUUGACUAAUGCUGACACUGGAUUUAUAAAAGAAAAUUGUCGAAAUUUUAUCUUAACCUUAUGCAAGUAACUUGUAAAAAGAAUACCAGCCAAUUUAGAAGUUUUUUAUUCAAUCAAAAAUUUCAGUCCUGAACACUGUCUAAAACAGAUUAGGCGCCCCAAUUUCGAUAAAACGAAUGGAACAACAUCAUUUCAGUAAAUUGGGGCACGGAAACUACUACUUCUGAAGCUUUUUGGUUAAAAGUGUAUUUACAGUCCGGGACAUUUCUAUUUGGACAUAAAAAAUUUGAAUUUUCUGACAUUUAUACGUAUAUUCAGCGUCUAUGUGAACAAAAAAUGUUCUCUCUCUCUCAUUCUAUGGUCCUUGAGCUUUAAUUACAGGGACAUUUUUUAAAUUGGUAGCAUUAGAAAAUGACAGUAAACAGCUGACUGAUGUAAACAAUAACACAAUAACAAAGGAAAUAGGAAGGAAAUGUUAUAAUUUUAAUCUAUAUAACCAGUGGCUGCUUUAAAAGUGUGUACUAACAGGAUAAUAAAAUAUUUACGCAAGUAUUUUUGAAGGUAGAAACAUUACUUGUCAUAUAACAAUUAUAGAUUGUAUGAUGAGACGGGAAUGGCACAACACAGAAUUGCAGUCAGUGAUUGUGCUGGAGAAAGCUGCUGUGACGUACUGACAGUACUGACUGUCGCUGGUUGUAUGAUUUGCGUAAUUUGUGAUAUAUUUUGUGUGAAAAACUGGAAAACAAAGUGCAUACCUGCAUAACCUCACUUAUCGCAGUUUUGCACAUUUUGAUGAUGGGAAUUGCGGUUCAAGUAAUUAUGAGUUAUAGAUGGAGCUCACUGUUUACUUCAAACUGAAGCCUUUUGGGUCCACUUUUUUCUUUGUUAUUUCCUGGUAGCGACUCUUGUUUCAAGCAGAAUGGGUGUAAAGUUAAAAAUAAUCCCAUAAAAUUGUUAAUAUAACUCCGUUGCACUGGCAUGGGGUAUUUGAAAACUUACGUUUAACAAAUACGUCACAAAGUCUCAGCCAUCGUCGAAAAACAUAAUAAGGGCUUUAUAACAACUAGCGCUUUCUGAUUUUACUGUGGACGUGUGGAAGAAUAGUGUGACAUAUUGCGAAAAACCAACUUUUACUCUUGUUUAUAUUUUUGUACGUCUCUGUCUGAGAGUAGUCGUCUUUUAUAAAAAAUAUAGCUUACUAAUAAAGGAAAUUAAAGUGUUUUUAUUUCUGGGUUGCCACCAAUUCCACUUUGCCCUUGCCUGAUAAUCAAGACACUGAUAAUGAAAUUGGUGUAAGUGCAUCGAAUACAAACGUGUUGAAUAGAUGAAUAAAAGAGAGACAACUGCUUUUUUCAAAAAGGCCAUUUCAAAUUUAUUCAAAAAGCACACCCCCAUUGAAAAGGGUCCAUUCACGAUGAAGUUUGGCUUCUUGCAUGACAUAGGUCUCGGGCACCAAUCUCACUGUAAAUGGUCUAAAUUGGUCUUGCAUCUCUAAGACAUGGACUCACUGAGAGCGACUUCUGCAGAAGGCUUGAGACCUGCCUGACUGUCUCGCAACAAUCUCUGCAUUAUGAUUCCAAAUCAUUUUAUAAAAUGCUGUCAAUUACAAGCCAUGAUAUGAGGCAUGAGGCCGUCUCAGUGUAUGUCUUGUGGUGUACAUUGAAACUGUUUCUUAAAGAACCCAUUCACAAUGAGAUCUGCUUCGCUACAUGCGGCGCAACAGGACUCAAAGACUAAUCCCAAAAGACACAAAAAAACUGACACAGUUUCAUAAUUUUAAGCCAUUGACAGCGUUUUCGAAUGUUGGUGCAAAGACUUGUCGCGACGCAGGUUUCAGCCUUCCGCCAACGUCAGUCUCAGUGAAACCCUCUCAAAGUGAUCUCAGCGAAAACCAUUCACAAUGAGAUUGGUCUAUGAGGCCUAUGUCGUGCCGCAUGCAGCGAGAUAUGUCUCAUUGUUAAUGAAAAUAGGGCCUUUUUUGUUGUUUAAAGUCGUUUUUUAAAACUUUUGUGGUAAAUUUUACUGAUGUGGCAGAGAGGGGGCAUGCAAUUGGAACAUGACGAUGACUACCCUAAAAGGCACUUCGAGGCUUUUAUGGCCUUUUUAAUGCAAAUUUCAACUUUAAACCUGACAGUCAUACCAAGGUCAAACAUAACCUCAACAGUACUCCAGCAACGGUACUUCAAAGCAUUUGAAAGUUUCUCCAUUUGUUUUUAAGUGUUCUAGUUAGUACAUUUUGCUGUACUUUACUACAAUAAAGAAAUAUUUAAAUUUUUAUUAUUGUUUACAUUUGUCAUCUGUCAAACACAUCAAACAGCCAAGUUCCCUAAAUUUGAGCUCUUAUCUAGUUUUUGUGCUCUAUAUAGUCUCGCGUCAAGGUAUGCGGUAU